rnacentral:rRNA from 1 species
GUGCACGCUGGGCCGGGAGCCGUGGUAAGACAAAGGGUGCAAGCGUGAAACGGAAUAGCUGGGCGGAAGUGGCAGGCAGGCGGUUAGAUAAGUCAGAUGUGAAAGCCCCGGGCUCAACCUGGGAAUUGCAUUUAAAACUGUCCAGCUAGAGUCUGGUAGAGGGGGGUAGAAUUGCAGGUGUAGCGGUGAAAUGCGUAGAGAUCUGGAGGAAUACCGGUGGCGAAGGCGGCUCCCUGGCAUCAUACUGACACUGAGGUUCGAAAGCGUGGGUAGCAAACAGGAUUAGAUACCUGAGUAGUC